ensembl:lncRNA
GUUACAAGAGCCCUGCUUCAGCCAGCUCAGGGGGAAAGUGAUCCAGAGAGAGACCAUAUAAAGAGGUCCGUGCAAUGCAGCCUGCAGGUGAAAAGAGGCCAACAGUCACCAACUCUUUCUUUCUCUGCGGGUGAAAAGAGGCCAACUAACUGUUACCAACUCUCUCUUCUCUUUUCCUAAGGCCUGUGAUUUGGAGGUAAGGCCCAGUGCCCACCCUUCCCCAGGGCACAGAGGUAGGGGGUCCAGGAUUAAGCCUUCUGCAGCUGAUACAACUGGCCAGGGGUAAAGGAGGAGAAGAAGGUAAGUGAAUUAAGGAGUCAUAACUCCUAGGGAGUGACUCCAGUGCUCUACGGGGCCCACCUGAGCCCCACAUCUUUAGGAUUUAUGCAGUUGCCAUGUCUCCUUGAGGCCCUGCCUCCUAACUCAAGUCACCAGAUUAUUUAUUCCUGCUAGUGUCAGCUGAGGGGACUGAAAUCAACGCCAGCUCACCCAGAGCACACAGGGGAGCAAGUAGGGGAGAAGGAUCAGGGCAAGAGUAGUGUAUCCAUGCAGACAGAGAGACAGACAGACAGACAGACACACACACACACACAAACACGCCAGAAUCGGCUCACAACCCCAUCCCCCACAGCCACAAUACAAGUCUGCAAGACCUAAGACAGACCCAAGCGCCUAGUCCUGACAGCGCCUAGGGAAUUGUGGAGGUUAUUUUAAGGUUGUUUCCACAUCCUUAUCUUCCCCGCCCCAUCCAACAAACAGACAAAAACAAACAGGCCAGCGGAGGCCUGGGCUGUUCACGCGGAGAGGCGGACCCCUCCACCCCUCCUCCACUCUCAGACUCCUCCCAACCAAAUUCCUCCAGGCAGGGCCCCUAUCACCCCAUUCAUCUCAUCUGAGGGGGCUAACCCUGCUGUCCAUUCUGAAAAGCUGCUUCCUCUAAUUGCUUUUUCCUCCUCUAUUUCCUAGGAAUUCACUGGCACGGACUUCGAUGGGAUGGGAUAGGGCACUUAGUGGCCAGGCUGGUCAUUCUUACGACAGACGUCUGAGCCCUAGGAGAGACCAAAGAGACUCAUUAGGCAACCGAUCAAGCAGUCAAUCAGUCAAUCAACCAGCAAGCCAAGGACAAAGCUCCAACUGAGAAGAGGUUCACUAACUUGGAAAUUUGUGGAUGUUUAAUCAAAAUGAAGAAACUCUGCCCUGCUUCAGAAGAGUGUCCUUCCAGCGACCGUUUGGUGGCUUUUGUGUUUUUUCUGUGGGGGAGGGGCAGGAGGGAGGCUCUUACUUGACUAUCUGAGGAUGGGGGCUAGUAAAUGAGUGGGAAGUUGGGGGUGCGGGGUCUCUGUCUUCCCCCGCAUCCAUA